CAGUAGCCGCGGUAAUACAGAGGGUGCGAGCGUUAAUCGGAUUUACUGGGCGUAAAGCGUGCGUAGGCGGCUAAUUGAGUCGGAUGUGAAAUCCCCGAGCUUAACUUGGGAAUUGCAUUCGAUACUGGUUAGCUAGAGUGUGGGAGAGGAUGGUAGAAUUCGAGGUGUAGCGGUGAAAUGCGUAGAGAUCUGGAGGAAUACCGAUGGCGAAGGCAGCCAUCUGGCCUAACACUGACGCUGAGGUACGAAAGCAUGGGGAGCAAACAGGAUUAGAUACCCCAGUAGUCCCUGUCUCUUAUAC
rnacentral:rRNA from 1 species